rnacentral:tRNA from 1 species
UCCGGAUGGGUGUGAAAGCACGACGGAUUCAAAAUCCGUUGCCUUCGCGGGCGUGCCGGUUCAAGUCCGGCCUCUGGUACCA